UCACUCACGCCACAAUCACAAACAGAAACACAGGAGAGAGAAAAAGAUCAGAUGGCAUCCUCCUCUUCCUUCCUUCUCCUCGCUGUUCUUCUUGCCUUGGUCUCAUGGCAGGCCACUGCCUCCGAUCCUAGCCCCCUCCAGGACUUUUGUGUCGCCGACAUGAAUUCACCAGUACGUGUCAAUGGGUUUGUUUGCAAGAACCCAAUGGAGGUUAACGUUGAUGACUUCUUCAAGGCAGCCACCCUCGACAAGCCUAGGGUGACCAACAAGGUUGGAUCCAACGUCACUUUGAUCAACGUCAUGCAGAUUGCUGGACUCAACACCCUCGGCAUCUGA
rnacentral:rRNA from 1 species